UGUUGUGUCGAAGCGGGAAUUUGUCUAACUGCAGUUGCCACUUCGUCAAAACAUCCACAGUAAAUGCGUUCCAGUAAGGAUCAAUCAGGUAGCUGUCAGUGGUAAGAUGGUUUCUAAUCCAGCAAGGGUGGCAGCACUCAACAUUCUCUAACUUCUUUGAGCUUGGUCUUUGGCAAUCUCUCACAGUUGAUGAUGUUAGUAUGGAUAAUUUCUUCACAUGACAAACUCUUUUUCAAGUCAGGAGUUAUAGUUUCUUCAUGUACAUAUCGGAAGUAGCAAACUAUUUUGGAUUUAUCAUCAAGGAAUUCGAAGAUGAUUUUAAAAUUAGCAGGGGUAGACGCAAUAAAAGAGACCGGGGUAGAAAAGACAGUGUGCCUUAGAGAAGUUCGUCCAAAAGAUAACGUGAUCAUUACAGAGGAAUUCGCCAGAUACAUCGUCAUCUCCAAAUUGAAUCAAAAUGGCUAAGCAAUUUGUACCAACACUUUUGCCAAGCACAAAAUGU